GAUGAACGCUGGCGGCGUGCCUAAUACAUGCAAGUCGAGCGAACAGACGAGGAGCUUGCUCCUCUGACGUUAGCGGCGGACGGGUGAGUAACACGUGGAUAACCUACCUAUAAGACUGGGAUAACUUCGGGAAACCGAAGCUAAUACCGGAUAAUAUAUUGAACCGCAUGGUUCAAUAGUGUAAGACGGUUUUGCUGUCACUUAUAGAUGGAUCCGCGCCGCAUUAGCUAGUUGGUAAGGUAACGGCUUACCAAGGCAACGAUGCGUAGCCGACCUGAGAGGGUGAUCGGCCGCACUGGAACUGAGACACGGUCCAGACUCCUACGGGAGGCAGCAGUAGGGAAUCUUCCGCAAUGGGCGAAAGCUUGACGGAGCAACGCCGCGUGAGUGAUGAAGGUCUUCGGAUCGUAAAACUCUGUUAUUAGGGAAGAACAAAUGUGUAAGUAACUAUGCACGUCUUGACGGUACCUAAUCAGAAAGCCACGGCUAACUACGUG
rnacentral:rRNA from 1 species